GAUAUUUUUGCUUCUACAGUUCAUAUACUAAAUUUAGACCAAUACAGAGAAGUUUAGCAUGGCCAAUAGUCAAGAAUGACAUUCAAAUUUGCAAAGUAUUGCAUAUUAUG